GGAGGAAAAGAAACUAACAAGGAUUCCCCUAGUAACGGCGAGUGAAGCGGGAAGAGCUCAAAUUUGAAAUCUGGCAGUCUUCGAUUGUCCGAGUUGUAAUCUAUAGAGGCGUUUUCCGUGCCGGACCGUGUCCAAGUCUCCUGGAAAGGAGUAUCAAAGAGGGUGAUAAUCCCGUACUUAACACGACCACCGGUGCUCUGUGAUACGUCUUCUACGAGUCGAGUUGUUUGGGAAUGCAGCUCAAAAUGGGUGGUGAAUUCCAUCUAAAGCUAAAUAUUGGCGAGAGACCGAUAGCGAACAAGUACCGUGAGGGAAAGAUGAAAAGCACUUUGGAAAGAGAGUUAAACAGUACGUGAAAUUGUUGAAAGGGAAACGAUUGAAGUCAGUCGUGUUCUUUGGAUUCAGCCAGUUCUGCUGGUCUACUUCCUUUGAACGGGUCAACAUCAGUUUUGUCCGGUGGAUAAAGGUAGUAGGAAUGUGACUUCCCCGGAAGUGUUAUAGCCUAUUAUCACAUACACUGGGUGAGACUGAGGACUGCAGCUCGCCUUUAUGGCCGACCUUCGGGUACGUUCGAGCUUAGGAUGUUGACAUAAUGGCUUUAAACGACCC
rnacentral:rRNA from 1 species